AAGUCGUAACAAGGUUUCCUUCCGUAGCACUUACUGAAGCUUUAGCAGCCUGAAAGGGCGAAUGCUAGCGACUAUAAAUAAAUAUGGCGUUCUUAAAUGCUAGUCUCUAUUAUCAGAGGCGACAUUGCCAAAUUGUCGGGGACACCCUAAAGAUCUUGAUACCAAGCUGGCAGUCGAAAGACGCCAGUGGCCGAGCUAACAGCCCUGGGUAUGGUAAUAAUUCAAGAUAUGCAACAAUGGGUAAUCCGCAGCCAAGUCCUAAACUACGCAAGUAGCAUGGAUGCAGUUCACAGGCCAAAUGGUGAUGGGUAGAUUAGCAAAUCUGCUUAAGAUAUGGUCGGUCCCGCUGUGAGAGCAGAUGGGGAAGCUACAUGAAGCAUGUCUCGUUAGUGAGUAUGCAUAAACGUAACUGAAAACGUUCCGUAGGUGAACCUGCGGAAGGAUCAUUACUGAGUAUUUGUCUUUUAUAGACAUCUCUCUAUCCAUAAACUCUUUUUUUUAAAUAAGACAUGAUUUACACAAUUAGUCUGAAUGUUUAUUUAAAAUCUUUCAAAA
rnacentral:misc_RNA from 1 species